rnacentral:rRNA from 1 species
UGGAUCCAGACUUUGAUUCUGGCUCAGGAUGAACGCUAGCUACAGGCUUAACACAUGCAAGUCGAGGGGCAUCGGGAAGAAAGCUUGCUUUCUUUGCCGGCGACCGGCGCACGGGUGAGUAACACGUAUCCAACCUGCCCUUUACUCGGGGAUAGCCUUUCGAAAGAAAGAUUAAUACCCGAUAGCAUAAUGAUUCCGCAUGGUUUCAUUAUUAAAGGAUUCCGGUAAAGGAUGGGGAUGCGUUCCAUUAGGUUGUUGGUGGGGUAACGGCCCACCAAGCCUUCGAUGGAUAGGGGUUCUGAGAGGAAGGUCCCCCACAUUGGAACUGAGACACGGUCCAAACUCCUACGGGAGGCAGCAGUGAGGAAUAUUGGUCAAUGGGCGGUAGCCUGAACCAGCCAAGUAGCGUGAAGGAUGAAGGCUCUAUGGGUCGUAAACUUCUUUUAUAUAAGAAUAAAGUGCAGUAUGUAUACUGUUUUGUAUGUAUUAUAUGAAUAAGGAUCGGCUAACUCCGUGCCAGCAGCCGCGGUAAUACGGAGGAUCCGAGCGUUAUCCGGAUUUAUUGGGUUUAAAGGGAGCGUAGGUGGACUGGUAAGUCAGUUGUGAAAGUUUGCGGCUCAACCGUAAAAUUGCAGUUGAUACUGUCAGUCUUGAGUACAGUAGAGGUGGGCGGAAUUCGUGGUGUAGCGGUGAAAUGCUUAGAUAUCACGAAGAACUCCGAUUGCGAAGGCAGCUCACUGGACUGCAACUGACACUGAUGCUCGAAAGUGUGGGUAUCAAACAGGAUUAGAUACCCUGGUAGUCCACACAGUAAACGAUGAAUACUCGCUGUUUGCGAUAUACAGUAAGCGGCCAAGCGAAAGCAUUAAGUAUUCCACCUGGGGAGUACGCCGGCAACGGUGCAACUCAAAGGAAUUGACGGA